GGGCGAGUGGCGAAAUGGCAGACGCGCUAGCUUCAGGUGCUAGUAAUCGAAAGGUUGUGGGGGUUCAAGUCCCCCCUCGCCCA
rnacentral:tRNA from 1 species